AGUGAACGCUGGCGGUAGGCCUAACACAUGCAAGUCGAACGGCAGCACAGUAAGAGCUUGCUCUUACGGGUGGCGAGUGGCGGACGGGUGAGGCAUACAUCGGAAUCUACUUUUUCUUGGGGGAUAACGUAGGGAAACUUACGCUAAUACCUCAUACGACCUACGGGUGAAAGCAGGGGAUCUUCGGACCUUUCGCGAUUGUAUGAGCCGAUGUCGGAUUAGCUAGUUGGCGGGGUAAAGGCCCACCAAGGCGACGAUCCGUAGCUGGUCUGAGAGGAUGAUCAGCCACACUGGAACUGAGACACGGUCCAGACUCCUACGGGAGGCGGCAGUGGGGAAUAUUGGACAAUGGGCGAAAGCCUGAUCCAGCCAUGCCGCGUGGGUGAAGAAGGCCUUCGGGUUGUAAAGCCCUUUUGUUGGGAAAGAAAAGCAGCAGGUUAAUACCCCGCUGUUCUGACGGUACCCAAAGAAUAAGCACCGGCUAACUUCGUG
rnacentral:rRNA from 1 species